rnacentral:rRNA from 1 species
CAGAUUGUAAGGAAUCGUACCCCAAACCGACACAGGUGGUCGGGUAGAGAAUACCAAGGCGCUUGAGAGAACUCGGGUGAAGGAACUAGGCAAAAUGGUACCGUAACUUCGGGAGAAGGUACGCUCUUGAUGGUGAAGUCCCUCGCGGAUGGAGCUGACGAGAGUCGCAGAUACCAGGUGGCUGCAACUGUUUAUUAAAAACACAGCACUGUGCAAAAUCGUAAGAUGACGUAUACGGUGUGACGCCUGCCCGGUGCCGGAAGGUUAAUUGAUGGGGUUAGACUUC